rnacentral:rRNA from 1 species
AGUGAACGCUGGCGGUAGGCCUAACACAUGCAAGUCGAACGGCAGCACAGCAAGAGCUUGCUCUUACGGGUGGCGAGUGGCGGACGGGUGAGGAAUACAUCGGAAUCUACUUUUUCGUGGGGGAUAACGUAGGGAAACUUACGCUAAUACCGCAUACGACCUACGGGUGAAAGCAGGGGAUCUUCGGACCUUGCGCGAUUGAAUGAGCCGAUGUCGGAUUAGCUAGUUGGCGGGGUAAAGGCCCACCAAGGCGACGAUCCGUAGCUGGUCUGAGAGGAUGAUCAGCCACACUGGAACUGAGACACGGUCCAGACUCCUACGGGAGGCGGCAGUGGGGAAUAUUGGACAAUGGGCGCAAGCCUGAUCCAGCCAUACCGCGUGGGUGAAGAAGGCCUUCGGGUUGUAAAGCCCUUUUGUUGGGAAAGAAAAGCAGCAGGUUAAUACCCCGCUGUUCUGACGGUACCCAAAGAAUAAGCACCGGCUAACUUCGUG